rnacentral:rRNA from 1 species
GAUGAACGCUGGCGGCGUGCCUAAUACAUGCAAGUCGAGCGAACGGACGAGAAGCUUGCUUCUCUGAUGUUAGCGGCGGACGGGUGAGUAACACGUGGAUAACCUACCUAUAAGACUGGGAUAACUUCGGGAAACCGUAGCUAAUACCGGAUAAUAUUUUGAACCGCAUGGUUCAAAAGUGAAAGACGGCCUUGCUGUCACUUAUAGAUGGAUCCGCGUUGCAUUAGCUAGUUGGUAAGGUAACGGCUUACCAAGGCAACGAUGCAUAGCCGACCUGAGAGGGUGAUCGGCCACACUGGAACUGAGACACGGUCCAGACUCCUACGGGAGGCAGCAGUAGGGAAUCUUCCGCAAUGGGCGAAAGCCUGACGGAGCAACGCCGCGUGAGUGAUGAAGGUCUUCGGAUCGUAAAACUCUGUUAUUAGGGAAGAACAUAUGUGUAAGUAACUGUGCACAUCUUGACGGUACCUAAUCAGAAAGCCACGGCUAACUACGUG